AGAAUUGCCAAGAAAUCUUUAUUUUUUUUUUAACCAAAUCUUUUGGAUGAGAAACAGAGGAAUAAUAAAAAAAAGUAAUCGGUAC
rnacentral:ribozyme from 13 species